AUACGUAGGUGGCAAGCGUUAUCCGGAAUUAUUGGGCGUAAAGAGUGAGCAGGCGGCAGUUUAAGUUUGGAGUCAAAGCGAGGGGCUCAACCCCUUAACGCUCUGAAAACUGAACAGCUAGAGUGCGAGAGAGGUAAGUGGAAUUCCAUGUGUAGCGGUGAAAUGCGUAGAUAUAUGGAGGAACACCAGUGGCGAAGGCGACUUACUAGCUCGAUACUGACGCUCAGUCACGAAAGCGUGGGUAGCAAAUAGGAUUAGAUACCCUAGUAGUCCACGCUGUAAACGAUGAGAACUAAGUAUUGCCGUGAGGCAGUGCUGAAGCUAACGCAUUAAGUUCUCCGCCUGGGGAGUACGGUCGCAAGACUGAA
rnacentral:rRNA from 1 species